rnacentral:lncRNA from 1 species
UUCUUGUUAGCAUGUUUUGUAUCGGGCUUUGCAGUUCAACCUCCAGACCAGUAGGUGGUGCUUAUGGGAAAAAGCUGUCUGUCACAGAAGCAGAUGGGUAUUUGCUUGAUCUCGGUUUAUUGGGAGGAACAGAAACACCAAGCUCACCCAUGAAUACUUCAAUGAGGAGCACAGGCACCAGCUCUGACGGGAGUGACUGAGGGAGCUCCUGGUGAAAUGUGCCAAGGUUGCUGCAGUUGGAGAGGGGGCUCCACCAGCUCCACAUCCUGGGCAGACAGGAACACAGUCUCUUUCUGUAUCACACCCUUGUGCCAGGGCUGAUGACUCUCAGUUCAGGCAGACACUGUCAUCUAACGCCAGGCCACAAUGUCACCGAAAGCCAGGGAAAACACCUGUCCCGUGAUUCUUCACUGGAAUGGCUUCAGCAUGGAAUCUCUUCCCUCAGCUCAAUACAGACAACUUUGUGGCUCUCCUGUUCUCCAGUGUAGGAACACUGCUGCUUCAUAGAGAGAGGGGGAAUGGUUCUGCCUUACAGUACAUGCAGGUGGGAGUCCUCUGUGGUGGUGUCAGGUGAUUGGAUUAGUUCAACCUCAGACCCCAGAGGGAAUGAACAGGUGCCAUCACUGGGCUAGGCAAUCCCCUAAUCCUCAGGUUCCUAAAUGGCUCUCUGGACAAUGUGCAUGAGUCCUGGAGGGACUAAACCAGGACCGGACCAGCAAACAUGUCUUCAAAUUCCCACAGUUCAGCAGCAGCAGCCGUGAUACACAUCUUUGGGGUGUGCAAAAGUACUUGGCCUCCCCACUCCCUCCCCACUCCCUCCUGGCACUGCAACAGCAGCUGGUACCAGGCUGCAGCGUUUCAGGAAUGAAAAGCCUGUGGAAUUCCAUGUGGGCCGAAGCAGUGCCUCUGCGCAAUCUCCGGAUGAUCUAUUCAAAGUGUGAAUAUUUACUAUUUUGAUUCAUCUCCAUGGAAGAGGAACCCACUAGCUGCUUCUAGUCAGCCAUCUUGAACCAGAAGCCCUUAUUUUACUUUUAUUUGUACUUUUUCUUUCAAAAAACUUUUUAAAUAUGUCAUUAAAAUGGUAAAUUUGCAAGUUUAAGUGAAAUCUAGUUUAGAAUUGAUGAAUUGUUAGUGAUGAUAUUCACAUCAUGAAAGUACUCAAUAGCAACUAGCCAAAGACAUUACUUUGAGGCAUGAAAAUAUCCUGUGUCUGUUUCUGCAAUAUAUGUUUAUUUCAGGAUAAAAAAAGAAAUUGUUUCUAUAAUGGAUUUUCACAUGGAACAAGUAAAAUGUUCUUGACUGAAUAUGUUGGCUGUCUUUUCUUCCAACAAACCAUUAGUUUACCAGUGUUGACAUUAGAAACAGCUCCUUACUAAAAAAUAAAAAUGUACCACCAAUGGAUCUCAGCUCUUAAGUGGAUUUCUAGUGACUAUGAUACUUGCAUGAAG